CCUACGGGGGGCAGCAGUGAGGAAUAUUGGUCAAUGGACGAGAGUCUGAACCAGCCAAGUAGCGUGAAGGAUGACUGCCCUAUGGGUUGUAAACUUCUUUUAUAUGGGAAUAAAAUGUUCCACGUGUGGGAUUUUGUAUGUACCAUAUGAAUAAGGAUCGGCUAACUCCGUGCCAGCAGCCGCGGUAAUACGGAGGAUCCGAGCGUUAUCCGGAUUUAUUGGGUUUAAAGGGAGCGUAGGUGGAUUGUUAAGUCAGUUGUGAAAGUUUGCGGCUCAACCGUAAAAUUGCAGUUGAAACUGGCAGUCUUGAGUACAGUAGAGGUGGGCGGAAUUCGUGGUGUAGCGGUGAAAUGCUUAGAUAUCAGGAAGAACUCCGAUUGCGAAGGCAGUUCACUGGACUGCAACUGACACUGAGGCGCGAAAGUGUGGGUAUCAAACAGGAUUAGAUACCCGAGUAGUC
rnacentral:rRNA from 1 species